AGAGUUUGAUCCUGGCUCAGGAUGAACGCUAGCGGCAGGCUUAAUACAUGCAAGUCGAGGGGCAUCAAGGUACACGAAAGUGUAUUGUUGGCGACCGGCGGACGGGUGAGUAAUAGGUAGGUAACCUACCUCAUACUGAGGCAUAGCUGGGAGAAAUUCCAGGUAAUUCCUCAUGAGGUUAUAUGACACAUGUGAUAUAAUCAAAGGUACCGCAAGGUACUGGUAUGAGAUGGGCUUACUGACCAUUAGCUAGUUGGUGAGAUAAGAGCUCACCAAGGCGAAGAUGGUUAGGGGUUUUGAGAGAGAGAUCCCCCACAUUGGAACUGAGAUACGGUCCAGACUCCUACGGGAGGCAGCAGUAGGGAAUAUUGGGCAAUGGGCGGAAGCCUGACCCAGCCAUGCCGCGUGAAGGAAGACGGCCUUAUGGGUUGUAAACUUCUUUACUAUGCGACUAACUAGAUUUACGAGAUAAUUCUAUAGAAUGUAGCAUAGCAAAAAGCACCGGCUAACUCCGUGCCAGCAGCCGCGGUAAUACGGGGGGUGCGAGCGUUAUUCGGAAUUGCUGGGUUUAAAGGGUGCGUAGGCGGCUAAGUAAGUUGUCAUUGAAAGGCUACAGCUCAACUGUAGUAGUGGUGGCGAUACUGUAUAACUAAGAACAUGGGAGGGGUACUUGGAAUGUGUGGUGUAGCGGUGAAAUGCGUAGAUAUCACACAGAACACCAGAGGCGAAGGCGGAGUACUAGACCAUAGUUGACGCUGAGGCACGAAAGCGUGGGGAUCAAACAGGAUUAGAUACCCUGGUAGUCCACGCCCUAAACGAUGAUCACUAGAUAUUGGCGACAAACAGUCAGUGUCCAAGCGAAAGUGAUAAGUGAUCCACCUGGGGACUACGGCCGCAAGGUUAAAACUCAAAGGAAUUGACGGGGGCCCGCACAAGCGGAGGAGCAUGUGGUUUAAUUCGAUGGUACGCGAGGAACCUUACCUGGGUUAGAACGUAUGAGCGAUGCAGCUGAAAGGUUGCAGGCCUGCGAAGGAGUUCAUACGAGGUGCUGCAUGGUUGUCGUCAGCUCGUGCCGUGAGGUGUUUGGUUAAGUCCAGCAACGAGCGCAACC
rnacentral:rRNA from 1 species